GUACUUUACAGUAUUAGUAUCUACAUUUUUAACAGCUUAGUCUGUGAAAUCUUGUUUUUUGGUUUGGUUUAUGGCUGGUACAUACUAGGUCUGUUACAUACAAGUAAUUAUAAACUGUGUGUUUCUUUGGUUUACUUGCAGGUGAGAAAAGCAGUGGCAAAACUACAGGGAAAAAAUUAUGCUAUAAAGGCUCAACUUUCCAUCGAGUGGUAAAGAACUUCAUGAUCCAGGGGGGUGAUUUCACUGAGGGCAAUGGAAGAGGAGGAGAAUCUAUAUAUGGUGGUUUCUUUGAAGAGAUUGUGGUCUUUUGCAAAAUGAGAAGGUAAGAGAUGUACACAGUGCAGUAACACAAUGUAGACUAAACUAGGGCUGUGCAAUUAAUCGCAGAUGAAUCGCAUUCGAUUAUGAAUGCGAUAUUGCCUAGCUUGUCAGUGAACUACGGCUCUGUGUAGUAAAUGCCGCUCAAUCUGAAAGCAGGUGAUGGCAAUUUACUACCAAUCAUGGAAUCGCCUUUACUGACAAGAUGCGCAUGACAAUCGCAUGCGAUUAAUUGCACAGCCCUAGACUAAACAUUCUCCAAUCCCUUAUGUGAACCAUGCCAAAAACGUCCACGCUGCACAGAGUGCUCAUGGAUAUAUGGACCAUGAAAUUGAUUUGGUUAACUGACUUCUCUUUUUUUCUUUUCUUUGAUGUUUUAUUUUGUUUCUUUCUUAAUUUUCCAGGAUGGGUUGACAUAAAAUACAAUACUCUUGAACAUAAUCCAACCUUUAAAAGGACAAGUAUAAUGAUUUAUUUUGCUUUCUUCCAGUUGGACGAAUUGUCUUUCAACUGUUCUCCGAUAUUUGUCCCAAGACAAGCAAAAAUUUUCUUUGCCUGUGCACUGGUGAGAAAAGCAGUGGCAAAACUACAGGGAAAAAAUUAUGCUAUAAAGGCUCAACUUUCCAUCGAGUGGUAAAGAACUUCAUGAUCCAGGGGGGUGAUUUCACUGAGGGUAUGUGCAGUUAUGAGAACUUUACUCUCAAACAUGAUAGAGCCUUCCUCUUGUCGAUGGCCAACCGUGGCAAAGACACAAAUGGGUCCCAGUUCUUUAUAACUACUAAGACAGCGCCUCAUCUAGAUGGAGUGCAUGUGGUCUUCGGGCUGGUCAUCUCUGGCUUCGAGGUCAUAAAGAAAAUUGAAGGGCUGAAGACCGACUCAGCCAGCAGACCCUAUGCUGACGUCAGAGUGAUUGACUGUGGACAGCUGAUUACAAAGUCUGCUAACGAUGGUAAGAAAGCCUUCCAUUCUGAGGAUGACUCUCCGAGUUCUUUGGAGUCUUCAUCUCAGUAUUCCUUCUCUGAUGGAGAGUCUGACAAAAAUUAUGCAUCUCGAAAGAGGAAAAGAAACUCGAAGAGUAAGCACUCAAAGAGAAAAAGAAGAGAGACAAAGAAGGACAGAGAGACAGUUAAAACAGCAGGACAUGAAAGUCAUGCUGAGGGAGAGAUGGCAGAGGAAGAUGAUGGUGAGGCUGAGCAGAAUGUAAAAAGGGAGAAGCCUGUGGUUCGACCAGAAGAGAUCCCACCUGUGCCAGAGAACCGCUUCCUGCUUCGCAGAGACAUGCCUACCCAGGAGGAGAUAGACACAGUCGUGGCACCAAAUGACACAAAACCAACUGUCACAAAAUCUGGACGCAAGAUCAAAGGCCGCGGUACUAUGAGGUACCAUACACCCCCCCGGUCAAAGUCCCGAUCGGAGUCUGAAGGGGAACGGGGGAGCAGUGAGACUCCUCCACACUGGAAAGAGGAAAUGCAGAGGACCAAGGCUUACCAGCCCCCCAGUGUGGAGAGAUGGAGUAAAGGAGAAAGAUGGGAUGACAGAAGUGACACCCCAAGGUCUAGGUCAAGAUCAGAAGAGCGUUCCUUAAGUGAGGCUUCUGUACAUUCCAGCCAUCAUCGAUCUAAAAAAGAAAAAAAGAAAACCAAACGCAAGAAGAAAACUAAGAAACGAAAGCACUCAAAGAAACAUAAAAAGAACAAGACCAAAGAGACCUCCCAGUCUGAGAAUGAGAUGCCUGGGUCCUCAGGCAAGAGGUCGAAACACACAAGCUGUGCAGAGAGGAGACAUUCUCGAUCACGCUCUCAGUCUUACUCUCGCUCAUCGUCGUGCCACUCCCACAGAUCGUAUAGAAUAGGAUCAGAAAGGAGACGUUACUUAUCAAGCUCUUCUAGAGAUUCACGAUCUUAUUCAAGGUCCAGGAGCAGAUCUUAUUCCAGAAGUCGGUCAAGGUCUGAUAAGCAGGUUCGGUUAUCCAUGAGAUCAAGUCAUAGUCGAUCAGGACGGUCUGUUACACAUUCUAGGUCACGUUCUCGAUCCAGAUACAGGACAAGGUCAAGAACCAGAUCAAACUCUAGGUAUAGUUCAGAAACCCCACCACGUUCCAGGAAAAGAAAUGAGUUGAGAUCCCCUCGAAAGUCAAAGCCUACAGAGGGCGGUAUUUCCAAAUUGGACAAGCCUGUCCCUAAAUCAGUUCAAGGUGAAGAAUCUAAAGCCCAACCAGCAGCAUCUUCAGAGAGUGUCUCUGUGUUGCCUAUGAGUGACAGUCCACCUCCUUCUCGUUGGAAACCAGGCCAAAAACCAUGGAAACCCUCUUAUGUCCGCAUUCAAGAAAUCAAUGUAAAAUCAGCCCCAGCUUCAAAUGCACUAAUCAGCCCAUCAUCAAAUGUACCUCUGGAGGCAAUGUCCUCUCUAAAGCCAGACACGGCUGUUAGUCAAAAGAACCCCAGCAGCACUAACAAUAAUGUUCCUGAUAGGCUUCUGCAAAGCAGUUUGUCCAGGAGCAAUUCACCUACUCGAUCACGUAGUAGCAGCAAAUCAAAGAGUCAGUACGGCAGCAAAUCUUCCUCUUGCAGUAGGUCAGAGUCGUAUAAUUCAUACAAAGGAAGAACCACUGAAAAAAAGAGAAAACAUUGUAGAUCUCACAGAAAUAGCCAAAAGAGGGACACGCAUGGAAAUCAUGGUAGUGCCCAUAAAGAUUCAUCUCCCUCCUCAGAGAACACAUCAGAUAAUCCAUACAGUGCUAUCCACGGACACAAUGAUUCCUUGGUACAGAGAAACACACUGAAAGGCACAAAUCCCAAUCAAAGGAAAGGACCAUUAGUGGACAACAAUAAUGCAUCUGGAUGGGAAAGUGAAGGAGAGAACUCAAGUAAGACUAAUACUGCUCUGGAACAUAACCAACUCCCUAUUAGUGAUGAGGGACUUACUGAAAUGAAAAAGAGACAGAUUUUGUCUCGUUGCUGGGAGACUGAGAGUGACUCUGAAAUGCCAGACAAAAAGGUAGUUAGUGAUGCCAAACAUGUGUCUGAAAAAGAGGAGGGAGAGGCUAGUUCAGAAUCAGAGUAUGAACACCCUUUAUGGACCUCUAGCAAGUCAAAUCAAGGUGCAGAAAUGUCUAAAGAAUUAAAAGGUAAUGAGGAGCUGUCUGCAGACACAAAAACUUCAAAGCACAAGCACAAGAAAGCCAAGCGGAAGCACAAGCACAAAAGGAGGAACACUUCCAGGUCAGGAUCUCGCAGAUCCAAGGCCAAGAAAUCCAAGAAGCACCAAAAGCCGAAAGAGACAUUUCACUGGCAGCCUCCACUGGAGUUUGGUGAUGAAGGUGAGGAGGAUGAUUCAGUCACUCAAGCAAAACAAUUUCACAUAGCAAAUCCUGAUGCUGUCAGUGAUGGAGCAAAAAGGCGUAUAAAAGCUGGAAAGAUCAAGCACCAAGUCUCAGAAAAUAAGGAUGAUUAUCAAGGGAAUGUCGUAUCAUCACAAGAUAUGUUUUCAGGAGAGUCUUCUAAAGAUAUUGAUGAGAAUAGGAAGGUGACUGAAAGCCAAAAAUCGAAGCCAAAUAGCAAUAUUGAAAGAAGUCCAGCUCAAAGCCAUCUAGAGAUCCAUACCAAUCUUUCAGACACUAGUAACAAACCAAGAGACCCAAAUAAAGUUGAUGUAUGUCCUCCAGAAGCCAUCCCAGAAGCUAAGCAACCAGGUGCCAAAGUGAUUGGAUUUUCCCCUCUAAAAAGUAUUCGAAAUAAUGGUAGUGCGCUUGUUCCACCUCAAAUAGAAAGAGGAAACUCUGUAACAAUUGGAUCUGUUUUACCUCAAGGCAGUCAGCCAGAGGAAUAUGUACCUGGUGACACUUCUCUCUCAGCAGUUGAAAAUAAAUGGAAACCUUUGACAGGCAUGACUGUUGUGCAUGCCAUUACUACAAAACCUUUAAUUAUGAAAAUAAAUAAAAUGCAAGAUCAUCUGGAGGGAAAGGCCCAGGGUCUCAAGAUUGAGAUCAAGAGCAAGAGUAGAGUCCGUCCAGGAUCCUUAUUUGAUGAGGUACGAAAGACAGCUCGGUUAAAUCAGAGACCCAGAAAUCAAGACAGCUCAAGUGAAGAAGACUCUAUUCCAGCAACAGGAGAAAGGGCUGGAUCCCACUCUCAGAACAAGUCAAGGUCUGUGUCCAGUCACAGGUCCCACCGCAGAAGUAGGUCUCAUUCAUAUAGCCACUCCAGGAGCAGGUCCAGAAGCUACACCUACUCUUCCAGGAGCUACAGUAGAAGUAGAAGCAGGAGUAGAUACAGCAGAGGACACUCUCGUUCUCGAAGUAGCACCUUCCGAAACAGUACAAGUCAUUCUAGAAGUCGCCACAGAGGUCGCCACAGAUCAAGGUCUGACUCUUCUGAUAGUUAUUCUAGCCGCAGUCGUAGCAGGAGAAGAGGGCAUCGGAGAAGUGAGAGCUCUGACCGCAGGUCCAGGUACAUCAUAAAUAAAUCCAUGUAUUAUUAA
rnacentral:lncRNA from 1 species